GUCCCAGUGGAGGAGUGGUUAACGCACUCGUCUCCCACGCCAGAGUCCCUGGUUCGAUCCCCGGUUGGGACA